AACGCACCUUGCGCUCCUUGGUAUUCCGAGGAGCAUGCCUGUUUGAGUGUCAUUAAAUUCUCAACUUCAUCAUUUUUUGUUGAAGCUUGGAUGUGGGGGUUGUGCAGAACACUUUGGUGGUCUGCUCCCCUUAAAUGAAUUAGCGAGUUCAAACUGAGCUCCGCCUAUUGGUGUGAUAAUUAUCUACGCUGUGGAUGGGACUUAGACUUGCUUCUAAACUGUCCGCAAGGACAAUUCUUGACAAUUUGACCUCAAAUCAGGUAGGACUACCCGCUGAACUUAA
rnacentral:misc_RNA from 1 species